GGAUGUAAGUAUGAUCUGGUUGUGACAUCUGUCACCCUACCGCAUUGAUCAUGAGGAUUGACUCUGAUGAUUUGGCUGGCUAGAUGGGUGUCCCUUUCUCCCCUUAUUGUCCCAUGUGUACUUGAACAAUAUCCCUCCUGAAGUUGUGUGCUUGGUUAAAGCAGAACUUUAACCUUUCUGAACAGUGGAGGAUCAAUCUUCAGUCAAGGGCUUAUGUGUAGCUCUACCCUCUGCUAGGACCUCUGAACAAACUUUCAAGAAUGUGGUGGUUAAUGUUGAUUGGAUACAGUGAUACCUUGGCUAUCACUAAGACACACCUCUGGGUGUGUCUGUGAAG
ensembl:misc_RNA 7SK 7SK RNA